rnacentral:rRNA from 1 species
GACGAACGCUGGCGGCGUGCUUAACACAUGCAAGUCGAACGGUGAAGCUCCAGCUUGUUGCAGUGGAUCAGUGGCGAACGGGUAGGUAUCACGUGAGCAACCUGCCCCUGUCUCUGGUAUAAGCGCUGGAAACGGCGUCUAAUACUGGAUACGAGAAGGGUCCCCAUUGGCACUUUCUGGAAAGUUGUGCGGUUGGGGAUGGGCUCGCGGCCUAUCGGCUUGUUGGUGAGGUAAUGGCUGACCAAGGCGACGACGGGUAGCCGGCCUGAGAGGGCGACCGGCCACACUGGGACUGAGACACGGCGCAGACUCCUACGGGAGGCAGCAGGGGGGAAUAUUGCACAAUGGGCGAAAGCCUGAUGCAGCGACGCCGCGUGAGGGAUGACGGCCUUCGGGUUGUAAACCUCUUUCAGCAGGGAAGAAGCGAAAGUGACGGUACCUGCAGAAGAAGCACCGGCUAACUACGUG